rnacentral:rRNA from 1 species
CUCCAGACUCCUACGGGAGGCAGCAGUGGGGGAUAUUGCACAAUGGGGGGAACCCUGAUGCAGCGACGCCGCGUGGGUGAAGGAGCGUUUCGGCGCGUAAAGCCCUAUCGGCAGGGAAGAAGGAGGACGGUACCUGACUAAGAAGCCCCGGCUAACUACGUGCCAGCAGCCGCGGUAAUACGUAGGGGGCAAGCGUUAUCCGGAUUUACUGGGUGUAAAGGGAGCGUAGACGGCGAUGCAAGCCAGAUGUGAAAGCCCGGGGCUCAACCCCGGGACUGCAUUUGGAACUGUGUGGCUGGAGUGUCGGAGAGGCAGGCGGAAUUCCUAGUGUAGCGGUGAAAUGCGUAGAUAUUAGGAGGAACGCCAGUGGCGAAGGCGGCCUGCUGGACGAUGACUGACGUUGAGGCUCGAAAGCGUGGGGAGCACACAGGAUUAGAUACCCUAGUAA